UACGUAGGGUGCGAGCGUUGUCCGGAAUUAUUGGGCGUAAAGGGCUCGUAGGCGGUCUGUUGCGUCGGGAGUGAAACUCAGGGCUUAACCCUGAGCCUGCUUCCGAUACGGGCAGACUAGAGGUAUGCAGGGGAGAACGGAAUUCCUGGUGUAGGCGGUGAAAUGCGCAGAUAUCAGGAGGAACACCGGUGGCGAAGGCGGUUCUCUGGGCAUUACCUGACGCUGAGGAGCGAAAGUGUGGGAGCGAACAGG
rnacentral:rRNA from 1 species